AGGCAUAAUGGAGUUUUGAACAGUAAAAAUGCUUUCUGCUUUUUCAGGGUCGUUUGGCUAUUUGAGAGAAAAAAGACACAUCACAGUGUGGCAUUGCUACAGGGAGAGAGAUGUUUGGGAAUGAUGAAGAGGAACACUCUGGCAGGGCAAUUCAUCUUAUCUGCCUAAAACUAGAACAGGCAGUGGGGGAUAAGCCUAACAGCUCCAGGUCUGGUUGAAACAAUGAUCAUCUUGUUUUGCUUUGCUGUGGCCCCAUAACUGCAUGGCAAAUAAACAAGAUAUUCAAAAUACAGAAUUUGAGGGACUGACUUUUCAGGCUAAGAACCCAUUCAUCCAACAAUACUUGAGAAAUCUCUGUUCUCAGUUCUUGUGUAAAUCAUCCUUAUGACUGAUCUGUGAAGCUAAUUGCAGGUCUAAAAUUCAAAACUACUUUGCCAUUUUUCAAAGGAGCUUUGGUAAACCCUGAAUUCCUCAAGAAACUGCUUAUGAUAUUUUACUGUUAAUGAUUUAAAAAAAAAAAAAAAAAAAAAAAAGGUAUUGUGUGAAUUUCCAGUGAAACUAAUUUCUGUGAACGUACCAUGCAUGUGUUGAAAGAAUAAAAAAUGGAUUUGCCAUUCCCCACAGUCUUGUGUACUCAUUUAUAUUACUGUAGAAUUUAAACACUAUCAAAACAGAAAAGGAAUAUUCCUCACCCAUCUUGCCUGGUGUAAGCAAGCAUGUAGGAUGUAAAGCAGCCGAAAAACCUGGCUCCAUACGUGUACAUGCAGUGCUCUGGAUAAUGUGGUAUGACGCUAAACUCAGCAAGAAGCAGACUACCAAAGAGCUCAGAGGAACUGAGGAGGGAGGCAUAGCUAUUCCCCUCAGAAAAGGUCUGAUGUCUGUGGUUGGUACAAGGCUCUAUUAACUCCCUGGGUAGCAAAAAAUUCCAGUUUUAUGUCAGACUGAGCUAUU